UACGUAGGGCGCAAGCGUUUAUCCGGAAUUAUUGGGCGUAAAGAGCUCGUAGGCGGUUUGUCGCGUCUGCCGUGAAAAGUCCGGGGGCUCAACUCCGGAUCUGCGGUGGGUACGGGCAGACUAGAGUGAUGUAGGGGAGACUGGAAUUCCUGGUGUAGCGGUGAAAUGCGCAGAUAUCAGGAGGAACACCGAUGGCGAAGGCAGGUCUCUGGGCCGAUACUGACGUGAGGAGCGAAAGACGUGGGGGAGCGAACAGG
rnacentral:rRNA from 1 species